AGUAUUUGAACUUGCGUACGUUCUGUGCUAAACUAGUAACGAAAUCGCUCGAAUUGUCACUUAACGUAUUUUAUUGUCAUAAAAACGCAGUCUAAAUAACUAGACACAUAAAUAUGUUAAUCGAUCAUUUAUUUCCAAACACUUAAAAAACAAAAAGUUGAGUAAAAACAACUCAACAUGUGGUAUUUGAGCUGCGUACUACCCGUUGAGUAGUUUUAACUCAAUUUUGGAUGAAAAAAUGUGACAGCCAUAUUGAAACGUCAUUCCAGACUAGUCGUCGUCGGUGUAAGACGUAAUCGUCAAGAUUAGUUAUUGUGUUUAUAUUUUUCUGAAAAUCAAUUAUUUGUUGAUGAAGUUUUAUUUAGUAAACUUUUGUUAAAGCUUCGCUACCAUUUGUUAAACUGGCCAGCUAAUAUUCCGGAAUCCGGAUUUACUGAAGGAAUUCAGAAUCUGAUAUCGUUAAAUUAGUUUUGGUAUACGAUUACCGAAGUCGAAAAGUGUCUGAUUCCGAUAAACUUAGUGCCCUGCUCUCAAUGACUACCACUCUAUUCAAACUGCUGGCGUUCCCGCCAGCAACCGUUCACGUUUCCCGGAACUGUUACCGACGAACAAUUUCUGAAAGUGAGAAGCUGAUGGUAGCUGUACCCAAUAUGUGUCAUUUGUUGCCUGCCCACUGCUCGCUGUUCCUGCCAUUCCAGUUAUCCUGUGCCACCAUCAAGGUAGUUGCUGCAAGUAUUCUCACCCGGUCCGAAUUGUUCCUGCCACCCACGCCGUUGGUUGAAAUAAACGAAAUGAUUGUAUCAUUGAA